GUAGGUGGCAAGCGUUGUCCGGAAUUAUUGGGCGUAAGGCGCGCGCAGGGUGGUUCUUUAAGUCUGAUGUGAAAGCCCCCGGGCUCAACCGGGGAGGGUCAUUGGAAACUGGGGAACUUGAGUGCGGGAGAGGAAAGUGGAAUUCCACGUGUAGCGGUGAAAUGCGUAGAUAUGUGGAGGAACACCAGUGGCGAAGGCGACUUUCUGGCCUGUAACUGACACUGAGGCGCGAAAGCGUGGGGAGCAAACAGGAUUAGAUACCCUGGUAGUCCACGCCGUAAACGAUGAGUGCUAAGUGUUGGGGGGUUUCCGCCCCUCAGUGCUGCAGCUAACGCAUUAAGCACUCCGCCUGGGGAGUACGGUCGCAAAGACGG
rnacentral:rRNA from 1 species